ACCUUUCUCGGGCAAACUUCCAGUGUCAAAGACAAGCCGAUUUCAAGCUCAUAUUCACUGAAGAACAUAUGGGAAAUAUCAGCACUUCAAAAUAAGAAAUCACGGUUUCUUUCUCUGUUUUAAACUGAACCACUGUCUACAAGACGUCCUCCUAAAUGUCCUCAAUGUUGUUUAGAUUCUGUAACCAAGCCAAGUAUUUUAGUUGUCACUCUGCUCUUAAAUGCCACUUGCAGCCAUAAAUAAGGUUCUUUCCUAUGAUUAAAGGACCCUUUGUUUCAAGGAAUAUUUAUAUCUUAAAGCAUCUGGGAUUCCUAUGAGCCAGUUAUAAAGUGCAAAGCAAAAACCCUACAGGCUGCACAAAACCAUCCAGAAAGUUGCAUUUACAAAACUGUUGCUACCAUAGAAUUGUUACUCAUUUUAAACAGAUUAGUUAAGGCAAGCUGUUUUUUGUUUUUUGUUUUUUGUUUUUUGUUUUUUUUUUUGAGAAAUCCUGUUUCUAGGUGCUAGCUGCCUUAGCUGUCUGGGACAGUUUCCUGAGAGGCGAAACCCACGCGGGUGACUCUGAAACAAUGAACAAAGCUCCACGGUGGUGCCGUACCCCAUCAGCACGCGUCGCUCCGCACACACAGAUGCCUUCCCAGCACUAACGCGCAGGGUUUUACAACAGGAAGCAAAAAUGGCAUUACUACGGAUUAGUGUUCGGGGCCUUUGCAGGUUUUUAUCCACUGGAUUUAGGAGAGGCUGGACUCUGGACUCCUCCCACGUUCAAUCUGCCAGAGCUGGGCAAGGCCGGGGCUGCGCGGCUGCGGGCGGGCCAGGGCACCAACCGCCAGAAGCGCUCGCUUCUACCAGGGUUACUGGCUGAAUUUUAGCAAUAUUUAUCCCCGAAACUUUUGGCACCGGAGCAGAUAUGAAUUCCACCAUAUUCGACUGGCGCCUUCAGCUGCCUUGCGAGGCUUGCUGUUCUUUCCCUUCCGGCGGUUUUGCUUGUCUGUAUAUAAAACACUCCUCUGGCACGUACCCAGCGAGUUUCCCGGGCUCCUGGCCCCGUCUCCUUUGCCAGCCUGUCGAGGGGUUUGGGCCUCCACGGCCGGAGGAACCAACCCAGCAGCAGCACAUAAAAUAGCCACAUAAAGCUUGUGUAAAUGUCGUGCAGGAAAGUCAGGACUCUUCCUGGCAAGCAUUUCUUACCAGCCCCUGUUUUUGGAAAAGCCUCAGCUCCUCCCUGCUACGGCUAGCUAUGGCCCUCACUAUGCCCUGCCUGCUCAGAUGUGUCGCCCUUCAGCUUCGUGAAAAACAAAAAGGAGAAUGAGGAGGUGAUCGGCAACGACAGGUCUCAGCAAAGUUUGUAACUAGAGCUUGAAGGCUGCCACAUGGCCACAAAGUAGAAGUGGAGAACUGUAUUAAAGAAUCAAUCCCUUCUAUUCGUUAAGUAGUUGAAAUAAAGUCACCGUUUACCACCUGCUUCA